rnacentral:rRNA from 1 species
CAAUAGCGUAUAUUAAAGUUGUUGCAGUUAAAAAGCUCGUAGUUGGAUUUCUGGUGGGAGCGAUCGGUCUGGCGCUUAGCGCGAGUACUUGCAUCGUCUCCGGCCAUCCUUGGGGAGAGUCUGUCUGGCAUUAAGUUGUCGGGCAGAGGAUCCUCAUCGUUUACUGUGAAAAAAUUAGAGUGUUCAAAGCAGGCUUAUGCCGUUGAAUAUAUUAGCAUGGAAUAAUAAGAUAGGACUUUGGUACUAUUUUGUUGGUUUGCGCACCAAAGUAAUGAUUAAUAGGGACAGUUGGGGGUAUUCGUAUUCCGUUGUCAGAGGUGAAAUUCUUGGAUUUACGGAAGACGAACUACUGCGAAAGCAUUUACCAAGGAUGUUUACAUUAA